GCCUCUAUGGCUCAGUUGGUAGAGCAACGCAUUCGUAAUGCGUGGGUCGGCGGUUCGAGUCCGCCUAGAGGCU
rnacentral:tRNA from 1 species